ensembl:lncRNA DUXAP9 double homeobox A pseudogene 9
AGCGAGCUUCGGAGAAGCAGUGGUGGGUUCCAUGUGAUGGUGGAGUAGGAGGCAGGUCUCCGCGGCUAGUCACCCUGCUGUGGAAUAGAAGGCCAGAAUUGAUCAGUCUCAUCUGAGAGUAACUUUGUACCCAUCACUGAUUCCUUCUGAGACUGCCUCCACUUCCCCAGCAGCCUCUGGUUUCUUCAUGUGGCUGCAGAUGGCAGGAUUUCCCAAAGGUUUCUGGCUGAAACAUAUUCCGUGGUGUAUCUGUACAGCAGUUUCCUCAUCCCUGCAGCUGUGUUUGAACAGGUCAUUUACCAUGCUGUCCUCCAGGUUCAACAGUAUGGCUCCAAAGGAUGAAAUUUCAUUCUGAUUUUCUGGCUGAAGACUAUUCUCUUUGUGUAUGUCCACCACAGUUACUUUAUCCCUUCAUCUGUGGAUGGGCAGUCUCGCUGUAUUGCCCAGGCUGGAGUGCAGUGGCAUGAUCUCAGCUCACUGCAAGCUCUGCUUCCUGGGUUCACGCCAUUCUCCUGCCUCAGCCUCCUGAGUAGCUGGGAUUACAGGCACCCGCCACCACGCCCAGGAAAGAAAAAAGAAGAAAACAAACCUCCAUACGAGAAUGGGUCUAAAGGAACUUCCCAAACCUCCAUGAUUUUGCAGGAAACAAGAUAAAGCUGGUUGGUGGAGAAUUUGAACUGGAGAUGAACUUUAUUAUCCAGGAUGCUGAGAGUAUAAUACGCAUGACAGAGCUUUUAGAGCACUGUGAUGUAACAUGUCAAGCAGAAAUAGGGAGCAUGUUUACAGCCAUUCUAUGAAAAAGUGUUUGGAAUGUACAGACUAGCACAGAAGUUGGGCUAAUUAAACAAGUAUUGCUGAAAAUGAGUGCUGUAGAUGACAUGAGAGCAGGUAUGGGGUUGUCUGUUAGGAAAGUAUAACUUAAAAGUUUAUAAAGUUUCACAUACUUCUCUUUAUAUUCUAUAGGUAAUGUAGAUUUGUUGACACUACUUUGAUUUAAAAUAAAUGGAAAUGUAUGGAAAUUUUACUUUUUAUAUUAAUGGAAAACCUGAAGAGUGAAAGAAGAAAAAUAUACUUACUAUAGUAGACAAAUAUAAUUACUAAUGUUGUUUUCUAAAUUUUAGAAAAUCUCAGUACCACGGAGUGCUAUGAAAUCUAUCAGAAAAAUAAACAGUAUCUUUUUAUGUAGUA